rnacentral:rRNA from 1 species
GUAACACGUGGGAUUUACCAAGAAGUGGGAAUAGCUCGACGAAAGUCGAAUUAAUACCCGAUAUGAUCGCAAGAUCAAGCCGGGGACCGAGGCCUGCGCUUUUUGAGAAGCCCGCGGCCAUCAGCUAGUUGGGGGUAACGGCCCACCAAGGUAUGACGGGUAGCUGGGUCUGAAGG